CACUUCCAGCUUCUCAGGAAGGUUCCCAUCACUUGGGGCACUCUCAGCUCUUGAUGGAAGUUGAUUUUCCUCUGAGCCAGUUUUCUGGGAAAACCUUUUUAAAGGCAGCUUCCCCUCCACUGGAGAGUGCCUGGGAGAGCAGCAGCAGGGGGAAGCUGUGCCUGGGAGCAGUUUGCACUCAGGGCUUGCAGUUAGGUAAUAUAAAUAGAUGUCAUGGUGGUUUUUUACAGCUUUUGGUGUUUGAAAAACACAGGGAAGCUGCUGGGGUGGAGGGGAAACAGCUGUCAGUUAUGUUAAUGUGCUAAAAAACAAGGAGCUGGACACAACUGAGAAAAAAAAUAAUAUAUAUAUUUGAGAAUCUCAAAGCUCCCCAAGAGCCAUUUGUGAUUUUGUAACAUGAGGGAAGCAGGUUGGAUUUACCAGGAGGAGGGGGAAGAGCAAAUAGGAGAGAUUUUGUGGGAUCCAGACCUUGGUGGGGAAGAAUUGAGCCCUUUUUUGUUGGGGUGAGUGAACUCUCUGCCUCCUGUUGGAUGGGUUGUGUGCAAUUCCUCAUUUUCAGGAUCUUUCCUGCCUUUGAGGUUCUGUUGUGGGAAUUGGGCAGAGCCCUUGUAGCCAAAAUGUUCCCUGGGCAAGAGCUGCCUGCAACAUUAAUCAAUUCAGAAAUGGAGGGUAAUCAAUGCAGCUGCUAAAGGGUAAUAAAAGAAAGAAUUUAAUGUUUUUCCUUCAAAAAAAGGCAAGAAUACAGGGAAAAUCAGUGACAGCCUUAGCAAUGUUUGUGGGAGGAUGUGAGACCAAGAUUUGAAGCUUUGUGCUUUCAAAAAGGGAAUAGAUGGAUGUGUGAAAUGUCACUUUCUGAUCCUUGAGAGAGAGGGGACCCAGGGACAAAAGGUGCUGGGAAAAGGGGGUUUGGAAGACAAGAUAGAGGAAAGGAGAGCAGGGGCUCACUCCAGAGAAAUGUGUAGGAUUUGCCAAAUAAAAUGUGAAUAUAAGGAAGCUAUGUAGCAUUUUAAAUAAGGAAUGUGACCCCAGUGGAAAUGAGACCAGAGAGGCAGAGAAGAGGAAAGGCUGGAUUAGGUUUGAGGGUGUUUGCUGCACUGGAGGACAAGGAGCAAAGGAUAGAGGUAAGGAAAUGGAGUAAAUGAGAGUCAGCUCAGAAAAAAAGGGCAGAAUCAAGAAGACAAAGAUGUUUUUCUGCUGGUUCUGUUUGUUAUCUUGAUAGGUAAGGGAUUGGGGAACUGGGAAACAAUGCCAAAAAUAAUAAAAGGGAGAAAAGGUGGAGUUUGCCAGGUAAUUGAGACAUGUGACUCUUGUCCCCUGGUAAGGAAAUGGAGGAAUUUCAGCUGUGUCACCAGCUGGGUUCACAGAAGAGAAGGGCAGGGCUGGAGGCUGAGGGACAGCAGAGUUGGUGUGGAUGUGCAGCAGGAAGGUCACUGGUGGGAAUAAAAACAGAUUUCUCUCCUGACACAUCCAACUCCCCAUGGAACUGAUCAGGAUAAAUCAUAAAGCUGAGGAACUGAAGAAAGGGAAGAUUUAUCCCUGUGAAAUGAAUGCUUCCCAUAUUUUGUCAGCACCGUGGAGCAGCAGAGCUGAUGAAUUUACCUGCAUGAGUACCUCAGACCAUUUUAAGAACUUUGUGAAAUUAGCAGGUUAUGUUUGGAUUGACAUCUGACAGCCAGGACAGCAGAACGAACAAACACUUCAGAUUUGCCUAUCACCGAUGAACCUCUCCCCACCCCGGCAAAAACCACCUGCAGAAUUGUGACUCUCUGAUGUUUUUACAAAGCAUGAGGUGCACUUGCACCUGAAACACCACAGACACACCUGCAGAGAGAAUGGGGAGCCCUUGGCAGGUGGGAAGAGGAGCCCCAAGCGCGUGGAGCGGAGGCGUAAAUCCCGCGUGGAGCAGAGGUGUAAAUCCCGCGGGUUUCCUCAGCAGUGGGGCUGAUUGCAAAGGCAGAUGUUGUCCUUCUUCUGCAGGAGCUCAGAUCCACCUCCAGCCUCCCAGAUUGUUUGUGCCUUCAGAUGGAAUUAGAGCUUCCUGCCAUUGUGUGUGGCGUAUGUCCCCUCGUCCCCGACUGACGCAUGUUGGACAUUCUGCCCGCGGCGCUGGCGAGAUGAGGCCGUUGCUAAAACUGAAAAAUGGCCAAAAUCCAAAGAUUUUUAUCAUCCCAUCCAUGCCUUGCAGUGGUGCACGAGGGAGUUUUCCCUGUCACGGGCACACUUUCCUCAGCCUUUCCUUUGAUUUCACACAGGCAAGAGACAUCAGUGGCACUUUGUUAUGUCUGACACUGACUUGUCAAUUGUCUUUAAAAUAAUUGUUUUUAAAAGGCAUGAAACAUGUUUUUGCAAAAGGGAUAAAAUGCAUUUUUCAAAAUGGGAAUCGUGAUUCCGUGGCUGUGACAUUUUUCUUAAUUAUUUUAAAUGCUUUUAGGGCUGUAAACCUUGAAAUUAUAUGUUACAUUCAAAGAAAUCCUAUGAAAAGAUAAUUACCUAAAGUUUGGGAAUGGUGAUUCCAUGACUGUGACUUUCUUUCAGUUAUUUUAAAUACUUUUAGGGCUGUUAACCUCGAAAUUAUAUGUUACAUUCUGAUUUUGGCAUUCAAAGAAAUCCUGUGAGAAAAUAAAUACCUAAAGUUUGGGAAUUGUGAUUCCAUGACUAUGACUUUUGUUGAAUUAUUUUAAAUACUUCUAGGGCUGUAAACCUCGAAAUUAUAUGUUACAUUCUGAUUUUGGCAUUCAGAGAUGACCUAUGAAAAAUACUUAUCUAAAGUUUAGGAUGAAGACAGGAAACAUCCUGGCUUUUUACUUAAUAAAUACAUUUUUAAUGGAGCAUGUGUGUCAAUGUCAAGGGGAAAUUUCCAGCUAGCUGUAACCCGACCACAUCAAUUCAACUCCUGCUUUGUCAGAAACAAAAUACUUUCCUUUUAAACCAAAAUUAAUUGUGCCAGUUGUCAAGAAACAAGGAUAUUUGUAUGCAUGGAUUUGCCAAGUCAGAUGGGAAUGAGGAGCCUGGAUGUGUAUAGAAUAACUAAAUUUUAAUUGAUCAUUAUUCAGGCAUUCUCUCCACCUCAGUAGCAAUAUCAGAAUAAGGAUGGAGUCAAACCAAUUGAGAUCAGCAUAUUUUAUACUGAAGGAAAAUAGCUUUUUUAUGACCCAUAGAAUUAAUCAGUGGGUUUUAUUGCCACAACUCUCCCAGAACAUAGUACAUUGAUUUUCCUCAAACCUAGAUUAAACAUUUCUUCAUGUGUAAAAUAAUGUUUGCAAUUCCAUUAUUUCUGCAGGAUAAGAAAUGAUCACAGUUACAACCUUUAUGGUUUAGGCCAUCAACCAAUCACUAAUUCAGUAAUUCCAGGAGUUAAGAGACAGUGAACUUAGUUUGGGGACACAUUACUCCAUAAUUAUGGGCAAUGCAGUUUCACAGACUUUUCUCUUUGUUGUCACAACAUAGAAUUAGGGGCCACACAGCACCAUUGUAAAUGUGUACACCUAGAGAGUUUGGGUUUUUUUCCUUUCUUUUUUUUCAUGGACAAUGUAGUGUAUAGAUUUUAUGGAUAUAUUACAAGUAUUUAUUAUAGGAAUAGCCAAUAGCAGAUCUUAUCUGAGUGCUGGAAUGUGUUGCUGAGGUGCUUUGUGGAGUCUGUCUCCUUAGAGAAAUUCAGAAACCAUCCAGAUGU